rnacentral:rRNA from 1 species
GACGAACGCUGGCGGCGUGCUUAACACAUGCAAGUCGAGCGGUAGGGCCCUUUCGGGGGUACACGAGCGGCGAACGGGUGAGUAACACGUGGGUGACCUGCCCUUAGCUCUGGGAUAAGCCUGGGAAACUGGGUCUAAUACCGGAUAUGACUCCAUGACGCAUGUUGUGGGGUGGAAAGCCUUGUGCGGCUAGGGAUGGGCCCGCGGCCUAUCAGCUUGUUGGUGGGGUGAUGGCCACCAAGGCGACGACGGUAGCCGGCCUGAGAGGGCGACCGGCCACACUGGGACUGAGACACGGCCCAGACUCCUACGGGAGGGCAGCAGUGGGGAAUCUUGCGCAAUGGGCGAAAGCCUGACGCAGCGACGCCGCGUGAGGGAUGACGGCCU